rnacentral:miRNA from 1 species
CUAAACUCUUAACCCGGCUUAAGC